rnacentral:tRNA from 1 species
AAGGGAGACCUAAUUCAGGUAUGGGACGAAAAAAAAGUAGUCGCUACCAAGAAUCAAUCCCAAAAGGUCGGAGCGAGGUAUGAGGCUUUCAAACUAGGUUCUGGGUUCAGACAAGACCUGAAUCAGGAACAAGGGCUAUUAGCUCAGGUGGUUAGAGCGCACCCCUGAUAAGGGUGAGGUCCCUGGUUCGAGUCCAGGAUGGCCCACCUGCACAGGUGGCAAAAACAAGAGAAGCGAGGAAUCAGCACCUUAUCUUAUCUAUAUAUAAGAGAGAAUGCUGGCUCUGAGUAAAGAGUCCAGAGGAACCUUGAAAACUGCAUAGAGCUAGGUGAAAAAGCCAAAAAAGAAGACCGCAA